CUUGGGGCAGCCUACCAUGCAAGUCGAGCGGAUGACGGGAGCUUGCUCCUUGAUUCAGCGGCGGACGGGUGAGUAAUGCCUAGGAAUCUGCCUGGUAGUGGGGGACAACGUUUCGAAAGGAACGCUAAUACCGCAUACGUCCUACGGGAGAAAGCAGGGGACCUUCGGGCCUUGCGCUAUCAGAUGAGCCUAGGUCGGAUUAGCUUGUUGGUGAGGUAAUGGCUCACCAAGGCGACGAUCCGUAACUGGUCUGAGAGGAUGAUCAGUCACACUGGAACUGAGACACGGUCCAGACUCCUACGGGAGGCAGCAGUGGGGAAUAUUGGACAAUGGGCGAAAGCCUGAUCCAGCCAUGCCGCGUGUGUGAAGAAGGUCUUCGGAUUGUAAAGCACUUUAAGUUGGGAGGAAGGGUUGUAGAUUAAUACUCUGCAAUUUUGACGUUACCGACAGAAUAAGCACCGGCUAACUCUGUGCCAGCAGCCGCGGUAAUACAGAGGGUGCAAGCGUUAAUCGGAAUUACUGGGCGUAAAGCGCGCGUAGGUGGUUUUGUUAAGUUGGAUGUGAAAAGCCCCGGGCUCAACCUGGGAACUGCAUCU
rnacentral:rRNA from 1 species